rnacentral:lncRNA from 1 species
UCACCCUAGGAAUGUGCACAGGGGGCAGCUGCCGGUGGAGGGUGUUUGGUAUGAGGGAGACAGGCUCAUGGGGAAAUGCAGCUGGCCCUCCCGCACUGGGGCCCCAGCGCUGACAGGGGACGGCGUAGGACGGGGAUCCCUUGGGCUAGGAGGGCGAGAACUGCUGCGCCAUCAGGUGGCAGCUUUGGGGUCAGCACCCUCGAGAUGUCCUGCCCUUUCUCCAGCGGAAUUGGGAAGAGCCCCUCAAGGGCUAAACAGAUUCUGACGGGGUCUCUUGUGGUGGGGAGGACAGGUGGAGAGAGACAUGCUUCCCUUAUAACCCAGCAAUCCUGUUCCAUGUAUUUGCCCAAGAGAAAUGAAAACUUCUGGGUGGAUGUUUAUUCACCCAUAACCUGUAUGUAGAUGGUUUUGGUUGCAUUAGUCUUAUCUCCUUGACAUAGGACUUUUCAUUUUAUCCAUUUUGUCUUGAAUGUGUAUGGAAUUAUUUUUAGGUGGUUGUUCUGGGGAUUAGAAUAUUUAUGCCACACUUUUCAGUCUAAUAAGAGGUGUAUCUUACCAACUCGAGUAAUAUGUGAAAGCCUAACAGUCAUAUACAUUCAUGUGGCUCUUUAUGUUAUGGUUGUCAUAUGUAUUCCAUCUACAAGCCUUGAAGCCCCACAUCCCUUUCAAAUGAUGAUAUGUUUUCAUGGUUUGGAAGCAGCUCAUCCUGGAAGCGCAGAACCUGCCAGGCGUCUUGCACUUCCUCCUCCCAGUCCCCCUAGGGUUAAAGGCUGCACUCUAAGAAGGCACUAGCCUGUCCCCAGGAGUCUAUCCAGAUCCCUGGAGGGCUCCAUUUCUGCAGGACGAGGCUACCCCUUGGAAUAAAUCCUCUCUGCUUCUGCCCAGCCCUGUAAGGGGCACCUUCCAUUCUUUCUCCAGCAGGCUUUCCUCUGCUGACAGGGAAGGAGACAGUGUGGGGCAGAGAGGGAUUUAUCCUCUUCUCCUUGGGCUGAGGAGAGGGCUGGGAAGUCCUCCAGGCAGCAUCUAACUUCCUCACUCUUUGGGCUGCUGUAAGUGGCCUUCCAGGUCCUUCCUGCUAUUUUCAUGUUCAAAAAUUGAAAUUUGAGUUUUCUGAGCUGGAAUUUCCUCUGUUUAAGGCUGCUAGGAAAAAUGGCUGCCAGGGGUCCUGUAAAGCAAAGCUUGCUUGGAGAAUGGGCGAAGAUGUAUGUAUGGAGGAGCUGAGACACUCAAAGGAUUAACCCCCUGGCCCAGGUCACCGACUUGUCGUGGAGUUCAUUGGAAUGUGAUGGGAAGGAGGAGAAGAAGGAGAAGGUGAUGGAGAGUCUCCUGGAGGCAGCUGAAUUUUUGGCAUGGCCGAGAAGACCUGGGGUGGACCCUUGACCCGCAUUGGGCCCACUCUUGCUUCUCUCCCGGGAACUAAGACUUAGGAUUUAUGAAUGCUGGUCUGUCUGUGCAGGAAUGGUGUGUGAGGAGAGGGAGGCAGCAUGGUGAUUUGUGAAGGGCUGAACUCAGACAGACCUAGGUUUAAGUUCUGGUCAUCUCACUUGCUGUGUGACCUUGGACAAGUCACUUCACUUCUCUGAGCCUCUCUCCAACAACGGGGCUAAUAAUCCCUGCCUUAUAAAGUUGUGGUGAUGAUUAAAAAGUGGCUGGGAAUGGUAGCUCUUGGAAAUAGUAGACAGUCAAUAAAUGUCAGUUUUCUGCUCUUCAGUCCUUUAAAGUUACUGUACAGCAGGUCCUGGAAUAAUACUAAAAUGUUUCAUUAUAAUGUUGGUGAGAAAAAGAAAAAUCAAUUCCCAGCCAAGGCCAUCAUCUGGGUGCAGUCUGUACAUUCUCCCCAUGUGUUCAUGGGUUUUCUCUGGCUCUCUGGUUUCCUCUCAUAUUCCCAGGAUGUGCACAUCAAGUGAAUUGGCAUGUCUAAAUGGGCCCAGUCUGGGCCAGGUGUGGUGGCUUACACCUGUAAUCCCAG